rnacentral:snRNA from 1 species
GUGCUUGCUUCAGCAGCCCAUAAACUAAAAUUGGAACAGUACAGAGAAGAUUAGCAUGGCCCCUGCACAGGCAACAAAAAUAAAAAAUUCUAUAUAAUCUA